CAGUAGCCGCGGUAAUACGAAGGGGGCUAGCGUUGUUCGGAAUUACUGGGCGUAAAGCGCACGUAGGCGGAUAUUUAAGUCAGGGGCGAAAUCCCAGAGCUCAACUCUGGAACUGCCUUUGAUACUGGGUAUCUUGAGUAUGGAAGAGGUAAGUGGAAUUCCGAGUGUAGAGGUGAAAUUCGUAGAUAUUCGGAGGAACACCAGUGGCGAAGGCGGCUUACUGGUCCAUUACUGACGCUGAGGUGCGAAAGCGUGGGGAGCAAACAGGAUUAGAUACCCCUGUAGUCCCUGUCUCUUAUAC
rnacentral:rRNA from 1 species